AGCAGCCACUCAUUAAAAGAGUGCGUAAUAGCUCACUGGUCGAGUGACUCUGCGCGGAAAAUAUAACGGGGCUAAGCGUAACACCGAAGCUUGGGCUGCACAGCAAUGUGCGGGGUAGGGGAGCGUCGAAUAUGGGGUGAAGUCGCAGCGGAAGCAGCGGUGGACUGUAUUCGAGUGAGAAUGCCGGAAUGAGUAGCGAGAAUUAUGUGGGAAUCAUAAUGGCCGAAAAUCUAAGGUUUCCUGGGGAAGGUUCGUCCGCCCAGGGUAAGCCGGGAGCUAAGGCGAGGCCGAAAGGCGUAGUCGAUGCACAUACGGUUGAAAUUCCGUAGCCACCGAACCUUAAGUACACUGACACAUAGAGAUAGCGGGACCCGGGCGUUGGUUGACCCGGGCGUAAGGGACCGAACUUUAGUAGGGAAGUCCGCGAUGCUCUGUGGCGAGAAAAGGUGUAUGGUAUGCUAAGGUGCCCGUACCGCAAACCGACACAGGUAGAUGAGGAGAGAAUCCUAAGGCCAACGGGAGAAGGGUUGUUAAGGAACUCGGCAAAAUGACCCCGUAACUUCGGGAUAAGGGGAGCCUCCUACGGGAGGCCGCAGCGAAUAGGCCCAAGCGACUGUUUACCAAAAACACAGGUCUCUGCUAAAUCGAAAGAUGACGUAUAGGGGCUGACGCCUGCCCGGUGCUGGAAGGUUAAGAGGAGAUGUUAGCCGCAAGGCGAAGCAUUGAAUCGAAGCCCCAGUAAACGGCGGCCGUAACUAUAACGGUCCUAAGGUAGCGAAAUUCCUUGUCAGGUAAGUUCUGACCCGCACGAAUGGCGUAACGACUUGGGCGCUGUCUCAACAGCCCACCCGGCGAAAUUGUUGUACUGGUGAAGAAGCCAGUUACCCGCAACUAGACGGAAAGACCCCAUGGAGCUUUACUGUAGCUUAAUACUGGAAAUCGGUAAAUCAUGUACAGGAUAGGUGGGAGACUUGGAAGCCAGGGCGUCAGCUUUGGUGGAGUCACCCUUGGGAUACCACCCUUGAUUUGCUGGUUUUCUAACCUGCGGCCGUGAAUCCGGUCGGGGGACACUGUUAGGUGGGCAGUUUGACUGGGGCGGUCGCCUCCUAAAAGGUAACGGAGGCGCUCAAAGGUUCGUUCAGCACGGACGGAAACCGUGCAGUGAGUGUAAACGCAUAAACGAGCCUAACUGCGAGACCGACGGGUCGAGCAGUAACGAAAGUUGGAGUUAGUGAUCCGGCGGUAUGCAAGUGGAAGUGCCGUCGCUCAACGGAUAAAAGCUACCCUGGGGAUAACAGGCUGAUCUCCCCCAAGCGUCCACAGCGACGGGGAGGUUUGGCACCUCGAUGUCGGCUCGUCACAUCCUGGGGCUGUAUUCGGUCCCAAGGGUUCGGCUGUUCGCCGAUUAAAGUGGCACGCGAGCUGGGUUCAGAACGUCGUGAGACAGUUCGGUCCCUAUCUGUUGCGGGCGUAAGAGAUUUGAAGGGAGCUGUCCUUAGUACGAGAGGACCGGGAUGGACGUACCUCUGGUGCACCAGUUGUCCUGCCAAGGGCAUAGCUGGGUAGCUAUGUACGGACGAGAUAAACGCUGAAGGCAUCUAAGCGUGAAACUCCCCCUAAGAUUAGAUCUCUCAUUCGAAAGAAGUAAGGCACGACGUAGACUAUGUCGUUGAUAGGCCGGAGGUGGAAGCACGGUAACGUGUGCAGCUGACCGGUACUAAUAAGCCGAGGGCUUGACCUU
rnacentral:rRNA from 1 species